CGCCUAACACAUGCAAGUCGAACGAAGUAGCAAUACUUAGUGGCAGACGGGUGAGUAACAUGUAGGUAUCUGCCCUUUGGCCUGGAAUAACACGAGGAAACUUGUGCUAAUACCGGAUAAGUCUUUACGGAGAAAGCUUUAUGCACCAUUGGAUGAGCCUGCACUUGAUUAGUUUGUUGGUGGGGUAAUGGCCUACCAAGACUGUGAUCAAUAGCUGAUUUGAGAGGAUGAUCAGCCACAUUGGGACUGAGACACGGCCCAAACUCCUACGGGAGGCAGCAGUGGGGAAUCUUGCACAAUGGAGGAAACUCUGAUGCAGCGAUGCCGCGUGAGUGAAGAAGGCCCUUGGGUUGUAAAGCUCUUUCGUCGGGGAAGAAAAUGACUGUACCCGAAUAAGAAGGUCCGGCUAACUUCGUGCCAGCAGCCGCGGUAAUACGAAGGGACCUAGCGUAGUUCGGAAUUACUGGGCUUAAAGAGUUCGUAGGUGGUUGAAAAAGUUAGUGGUGAAAUCCCAGAGCUUAACUCUGGAACUGCCAUUAAAACUUUUCAGCUAGAGUAUGAUAGAGGAAAGCAGAAUUUCUAGUGUAGAGGUGAAAUUCGUAGAUAUUAGAAAGAAUACCAAUUGCGAAGGCAGCUUUCUGGAUCAUUACUGACACUGAGGAACGAAAGCAUGGGUAGCGAAGAGGAUUAGAUACCCUCGUAGUCCAUGCCGUAAACGAUGUGUGUUAGACGUUGGAAAUUUAUUUUCAGUGUCGCAGCGAAAGCGAUAAACACACCGCCUGGGGAGUACGAC
rnacentral:rRNA from 1 species